UGAGUAACCUGCCCUUAACUCUGGGAUAAGCCUGGGAAACUGGGUCUAAUACCGGAUAUGACUCCUCAUCGCAUGGUGGGGGGUGGAAAGCUUUUUGUGGUUUUGGAUGGACUCGCGGCCUAUCAGCUUGUUGGUGAGGUAACGGCUCACCAAGGCGACGACGGGUAGCCGGCCUGAGAGGGUGACCGGCCACACUGGGACUGAGACACGGCCCAGACUCCUACGGGAGGCAG
rnacentral:rRNA from 1 species